GACGAACGCUGGCGGCGUGCCUAAUACAUGCAAGUCGAACGCACUGACAGAGAAACUUGUUUCUCUUGACGUGAGUGGCGCACGGGUGAGUAACACGUGGGAAACCUACCCUUCAGCGGGGGAUAACCGUCGGAAACGAUGGCUAAUACCGCAUAGGUCUUUUAACCGCCUGGUUGAAAGAGGAAAGACGGCCUCGGCUGCCACUGAAGGAUGGUCCCGCGGUGCAUUAGCUAGUUGGUGAGGUAACGGCUCACCAAGGCCACGAUGCAUAGCCGACCUGAGAGGGUGAUCGGCCACACUGGGACUGAGACACGGCCCAG
rnacentral:rRNA from 1 species